UAUAAAAGUAUAUUCAACGAUCUAUAAUGAUAUUAAUUAUAUAUUAUAAAUAUUAAUAUUCUUUCAUUUAUAAUUGGUUAAAGUAAGAAAAUGUUGACUUCUCUAGAAGCGAGAACGACUUCUAUUCUGGGACAGAGGGAGUAUGAUUUAUUUGAUUUUAGUUGAAUAGAAUUAUAGGUGGAUAAUAAACGUGCUGAAGGCUGGAACUUUGCUCCCUUAACUUUUUUUUUUUUUGAAUCACUUUGCUCCCUUAUCUUAAACGUGCUAAAACAAGUCUGGACUUGAGAAAGUCUAUGGACAAGAGAAACAGAAACGGCCAACUUAGACAGGGGAAAUGGGCCGAACUAGACAGAGGAACUAGCUGCGUUGGGCCAAAUCUAGACGCGACAAAUGGAUCGUCCUGGCCCUGGUUGAGAGCUAGUGGGCCAAAGCUUGACAUGAGAAACGGUCCACUUCCAUCCAGCAACGCGCGCUUCCCGUCGUUCUCGGCUGCGUGCGUGCGCCGUGAGCUCGAUCGAGGAGCGUGUGGAGCGCUGGAGGCUCGAGACGGCCGACGGAUCCAUCGCUGACACGAUCGGCUCGCUCCCGCAGUGACCGCAAGCGGCGUCAUGUUCGUUUAGGUGAUAAGCUAUAACAUACAGUUCGUUAAUUUGUUAUGAGAGAAAAACACUAUUGAAUGACUUACUGAUAAGCUCAAACAAAUAAGAAGACCCUGUUCAUUUUAACUUAUUUGCUAUCAGCGAACAGCUUUCAGCCAUGUCUCGAAACCGCUUGCGUCGGGUGGCGGUUUUGUCUGGGACGACGUAGCUUCAGAGGCUUUCGUCAUGAGCCAUGACAGACAGCUGCUGAAGAUGACAGCAGAUUUUUCAUUUUUGAUUUGUCAAGACAAUCGUGCGUGCAGAAACCUCUCUAACUGUAGUCCAUGCUCGUGUAAUACUGUACAUGUGAAGUGAAGCUGAACAGGACUCACUCGAUGCAGAGACCCUUUGCACGAAUCAAAAAUGGGGCUAAUCAUGGCAUGUAAUACUAAUAUAUACACACAGCUUCAAAGCAGAGCUAACUAUCUAGCAGUAAGCAUACAUGAAUUUUGCAAGUUUGCAACCCUGUUGUUGCUCAGUUCCCUCUCAGAACUUGCCGUCCGCCGCUUGGACAUGGUUGGGACCGCCGUCGCCGCCCGGCACCACGAGCUUGCUGAUGGUCCUCACGAUCUGGCGCUUCAGCUGGCCCCUCUUCAGUGGCGGCCUCUUCUCCUUAGUGCUGCUGUAGCCGCCGCUGCUCAGGAAUAAGUUGACUGCCUUCCAGCUGCAGCCGGGACCGGGUCUCCCGAAGUCACGAGGCCCAUAUGGCAAUAUGUGAACGAGAUCAGCUCGUAAAUACUACUCUAAGUCAAGUAGUCACGGAAUUUGUGCGCCUAAAACCGGUAAACCACGCUGAGGCCCCGGAUUUGUUUAAGCCUGAUGGUGAGCUAGACGUGUGGGUUUCUGAAGCAUCCACGAUUGGAGCAAUCAACAGCCAGACGUCACAUCGAUUAGCACCGGUUUUAAGCUGGGGGCGAUUAUAAUUAGAGGCGAGUUCAUGUACGCUACAUGCUGUGGUGUCCCGGCUGUCUCUCUUUCCGCAGACCGGCGCUUCUUUUUGCUAGCAACUUGCCAAAUAUCUUUUCAGUUCA